rnacentral:lncRNA from 1 species
UUUUAUGUAUAUAGUAUGUCAUCUGCAGAUAUUCAGAGUUUUACUUCUUCCUUCUUCCAUUCUUUUCAAGACUGUGCAGUUUACUGUUGUUGGGUGGGGUGAUCUAUGUAUGUAAGUUAUCCUGAUAAUUGAUGAUUUGUACAUUUCUUCUCUGCCUUCCGGAUUUUCUCAUAGUUCUCUCAGUUACUGACAGUGGGAUAUUGAAGUUCCAACUGUAAUUGUGGAUUGAUCUGUUUCUUCUUUCAAUUCUAUUAGUUUUUGCUUGAUGUAUUUAAGAUUUUCUUGUUUGGUGCAUUCACAUUUAGGAUUAUAUCUACCUGAUGGAGUGAUUCUUUUAUCAUUAUGUAGUAUCCUUGUUUGUGUCUAGUAACUUUCUUGCUUUGAAUUCUCCUUUAUCUGAUAUUAAUAUAGCUAUUCCUGCUUUUUAAAAAAUUAAUUAAAAACAUUAAAAAAUUAAUUUUUGCAUGAUAAUCCUUUCCAUCCUUGUAGUUCCAACCUACUUAGGUAUUACACUGAUUUUUAAAAGCAAACCAAAGCCAGGGUCAGAUUUUUAAAUGUUUUUGUCAUGAAGUUAUUUUGAAUUUUUUCAAUUAAGGUCAGGUUACAUAUGUGAGUAAAUGGUAUAAAUCACUUUAGAAACUAGAAAAUGGAAUAUUGGUACAAAGCAGAAUAGAGAGAGAGAGCCUUAUUUAUUAAGUCUGUUUUUGGUCAUUAAACAAAUGUGUUGAAUACCUCAUGUGUGCCAGGAAUUGUUUUAGGUGCUGGAAAUAUGAUAAUGAACAAACAAGAAAAAACAAAACACUGUCAGCAUGGAGUUUAUAGUCUUGUGGAGGAAGAAAAAAGUGAAGAAAUAAAUUAUAUUGUAUGUCAAGGUAAUACAUGCUUUGGAGCAAAGUAAAACUGGGAAGGGGGCAGAGAUAGGUAGGUAGUACUUAUAGGUGGUGGUGAUGAGGUUUUGAUUUCAGAUAGGUGAUCAGGGAAGACCUCUCUGAUAAGUUUACAUUUGUGAAAAGACUUGAAAAUAAUGAGGGAGCAAGCUGUGCUAAUUUAAUUUCUCUGGUAGAAAGGUAUCUCAGGCAGAAAAGAACUUUCUUGGCAUGUUAGAAGAAUCAGUGGGAGACCAAUGUGACUGAGCAGAGUGAGCCAUGGGGAGAGUGCAAGGAGAUGAGAUCAGAGAGGAAACAAGGGUUUAGGUCAUGUUGAAUCCUAAAAGCCAAUGUAAACUUUAGCUUAUCUUUCAUUUCAAAAGGAACAUUUGAUAAUUUGUGUGUACUCCCUAGUCUGUUGAAUAAAGGAAGGAAGGUGGGAAUUAAAUGCAUUUGAUUUUUAAAAAAUAUAUAUAUAUUUUUAAAGGAAAAGUUCCACAGGGUUUUUCCACUUCUAAAACCCUUCACUUCUUAUCUUUAAUGGGUCUGAAAUAAUUGACUUUUUUAAUUUAAAAAGUAUGAGGAGUAUUGUGGAAUAAUUCUCGAUGUGACCCUACUAGUAACAUUAGAGGAAAAAAGUCUAAUUUCCAUUGAGCAGUUUGACAGGCCCUUUAAAAAGUCUAAAGGAAUUAAAAAAUAACAAAGACUGGAACUUAUGCCACAACUGUAAUAUAUCUUAGUUUAUUUUCAAUAGACUAUCAGGUACUUCAUACCACUACAACAGCUGAGUGCUUAAAACAAUAUACCUAACAGCAAGAGCAAACACAAAUAAUUAGGGAUGGUAAAGAAAGAAGAAAUAUAAGCCAUUGAUAACAGACUAGCUUUGUACAAUUUUCAAAUUGCCAGGUACUUGACAAUUUUUUCUGCUGGUCAUUUCUCUUAAAAAAAUUUUAAUGAGGUGAGGACAAGAAAAAAAUAUGAGAAAAUUGUAUCCUAUGGUUAAAGAAGGAAACCACAAUCACAAUACAUAAUGGAUACAGGAAGUGCACAAAGAUUGUUUUUUAUAGACACCAUAAAAAAGAUUUUGCAGAGGUUGAAAGUGGAUUUAUCUGAAAUGUGAUAAAAAUCUAAUCCAGUUCACCUUUUAGAAAGAAUUAAAGAAUAAAUAAAAAGAACGAAAUAGUACCUUGAACCUUAUGUGAAGAUGAUCUCAUAGCCUGUUAGAAUUUCUGACUUGCACCCAGAGUAAUCUAUAACCAUAAUCUACUUAAACCAUUGUGAACACUAGGUUUAAAUCUCCCCACAAUUAAAAGCUCUUCUAGAGUUAUCUACAUACAAAUGUCUUAUACUUCACUUCAUUUUAACCCUACCCCAACCCAAAAAGUUUUUAUAGAUAUUAACCUCAAGUGGAUUACUUUUUCAUCAUCCUUCAUAGAUAUUCUUCAGAAAGCAAGUACAAAGCUUUCUGAUUUAACAACUUGGGUAAAUUGUAACUGAUCAGAAGGUCUGGCAAUACAAUCAUUACUAAUAAGAAUUGUAUUUUCUGAUUCAAAUAUAAAAAUAAUAGGGUCUGACAAUAGUUCAGAAUCUAUGAAAAUUGACCUGAAAAUCCAAGAUAUAAAUUCUUUUUAUCUACAUAGGAAAAUACUUAUUUCAAAAUAAAAAUCCUACUUCUGAAUCUGAGUGUUUAAAAUACUUGACUAAAAUGCACUGAUUAGCCUCCUUCCAAAAGUACUAUGUGUCAAAACUAAAUUUGACACUUGUUCUUAGUAUGUGAAAACUCAAAUAUGACUGCCUCAUAUUAAAAAAUAUAAAUCUAUGAAAACAAGUGCAGUGGCUGAAUAGUUCUGGUAUUAUAAUACCAGUUAGAUGAACAUUUUUAUUAUUUGUAGAAUAAACUCUUAAAGAAUCAAAUCAUAUACGUAUUUUUAUUCCUCUGUGGGCACUAUAAUCAUUAAAAACAAUUACUUAUAUCAUAUAAUGUCAGAGAAAUUAGUAGCCUGAGCAUUCAGCUCUGACCCAGAGAAAUAAAUGUGUUUGUAAUUCUCUGUGAUUUUAGUGAACUAAACUUGGACCAAGUGAAUUGAAAAAGAUCAGUUCAUCCUAAUACACCAACCAGUUUCUUUCACAAUUUUUCCAAUUCUGACAGUAAUAAUGAUUAUAGUAGUGACAGAGCUACCACUUAUUUGUGCGAGGUUAAGCCAUUACUUGGAACGUCCUUCUCCUUUAUCAGAAAAAUUCCUAACUAUCCAGCAUAUGAAAUCUGGUAUGCUCAAGUUCCAAAAUCUUUUGAUUCCAAAAUCUUUUGGAAACCCCUUUGUCAAAUCCAUGCUGAUGGCUUCUCUGAAUUGCUAUGAUCAGUUUUGUCUCUACUGUGCAAUCAAACAUUUCAUGAUGUAGGACUUUAGAAGUUCUGUUUUCUGGGACGCCUGGGUGGCUCAGCGGUUGAGCAUCUGCCUUCGGCUCAGGGCAUGAUCCCACGGUCCUGGGAUCGAGUCCCACAUUGGGCUCCCUGCAUGGAGCCUGCUUCUCCCUCUGCCUAUGUCUCCGCCUGCCUCUCUGUGUCUCUCAUGAAUAAAUAAAUAAAAUCUUUUAAAAAAAAGUUAUCUGUUUUCUAAAUAUACUCACCCCUAAAAAUAAUCUCCAUUUGGGGUCAUUCAUUACCAUGUUCUUCUUGCCAUAUCUUCAUUCAUAUAGUGCAGCUCUGGAAAACAUACAUUUAAAACAGCUACUGACUCCCUCAUUUUGCUUUUAAUAUUAAUUAGGAUUCUGUUUACUGUAAUUGACAAAAGCUUUCCCAAAUAUCAUCCUUUUCCUUCUUGAUCUCAACAUGUAAUCAGUAAGUUCCCCAAAAAGGCCUAGCUCACAAAGGCCUUUUUGGCCUAGACACAAAGUUGAGGCUGACCUUGAAGAAAGAAUAGAGUAUCUUUAAGUGCUAGUAAAUGUGUGGUAAUAAAAUUCCUAAUAUAGUUCAUUCAGAUCUUCAGUAUAAUUGUACCAAACUUUAUAUAACUUUUUAAAUAAUGAGUUCUCCUAUUAGCUCCAAUAACUCCAUUAUUUUGAAGGUCAUGCUGAUACGAAUAACACUGCUCAGAAUCCAACUAGAACUCCCUGAGAUACUUUAAGAAAUCAUUACAUUUCCAGCCAGGAUAGGUCUGGAGGAAUCGGCAUUUAAUCCAUUUUACAGAUAUGGUAUCUAAAGUCCAGAAAGGUUAAAUGGCACCUUCUGGGCUCACAACACUUUUUUGAUCUUGUGGUUCACUAAAAUGAAAGUGCUAGGUAAAUUGAUAGGAGUCAAGAUUGAAGAUGGAUCAUCCUGACACCCUAAUUUAAAACACCUUCAUUUAAGGAAGGCUGAAGUCAAACAGAUGAACACCCCUAUAUAGCAAACCAAGGAAAAGAUAUGCUCUCUUGUAAACUUUUGGCAUAAAUGGUAACAGUUUUCAGUCUCUUCUUUUUUUUUUUUUAAAGAUUUUAUCUAUGAGAGAGAGAGAAAGAGAAUGAGCAGGGGGGAGGAGCAGAGGGAGAGGGAGAAGCAGAUUCCCCACCAGGCAGGGAACCCAAUGCAAGGUUGAAUCCCAGAACUCUGAGAUCAUGACUUGAGCCAAAGGCAGAUGCUUAACCAACUGAGCCACCCAGGCACAGUUUUCUCUUUUUAAAACUGUUUUGGAUCCCCAUUCAAAUCUCUUCCACCACAAAAUUUAACUGUUUUGCACCUUCAGUAGUAAUCGUGAGAAAUAUAUACCAAACCUCAUUAAUAUAAAACCUGAAUAAUUUGGGAAAUCUGGUUUGGAAUAGAAUAUUUAAUCUCUGGAAAGAAAAUUUGUUUUGUUUUUCCCAAAUAACCAGUUGAAUAACAAUUUUGGAUUGUGAUUUUAACCCAAAAUUUUGUAGGUAAUCAUUUAAUGAAAUGUCUGGUAGUAUCCUUAAUGGACUGUUCUCAUCUAUUAGAAAGUUACUAAUGAGAAACACUUAGAAACUGAAUGGAUUAAUUUGGCAACAGUGUUGAUGUUGUCUUGGGAUGGGAAUCAUUCAAGGAUAGAGUCAACUCAGAUAUUCAGGGCAUCUACAAUUUGUAGAUUAACCAUCCCCUUGAUUUUCUUUUUAUCCUUUUUGCUCACAGCUUGUGCUUUUGUAAUCAUACACCCUACCUCAACAGAGUACAGAUAAAAUGUAAUAAAAUUCAAAUUGGAUAAUUUUGCUUCAGGUUAGAAGCUCCUUCAAAAAGUUUCUGAGAUUUCACUAAAAAAGUUUUUGGGAUUUCACUAAAUAAACAUAGCCGUUUUUGUUACUUAUACUAUUUCUAAUAUGAUGAGUAAGUAUUGGCUAAAUAGUAACCAAAGUCAAGCAGCCAUUAAAAUUAUUAUUAUGGUGUCUUAACUGUAUUAUAGUUUGUAAAUUAAAAUAACAUUAAGAGACCUAAUUUCUUUCCUUUUAGCAUUUUGAGGUGUUUGUACCAGUUUCCUGUAAGCAGAUCUUAAUUAGCAAAAAUUUUCAAGUCUCUGUUCCUAUCAAAACUAGUCAGGAUGCCAGGCCGAAAUCAGUGUGACUGGCAGGUAAACUGACUACAAUAUUAGGAAUAUUUUUUUUAAAAAAAUGUAAAGGUUAGAUCUAUACCUUUUCCCCCCCAGAUCUGUACAUUUUGAUGUGAAUAACAAUAUAUGCGGACAGAACAGAGUUUUUGAAUUAAAUCAUACAUUGAUUAAAUUCAGUUUGUUUUGAGGGUCCAGAUACCACUCACAUACCAAUCAGUAAAUGUGUCUUAGGAAUCAAAAAUAUGAGAGAAUGGACUGAUGAAUGGAAAAGAUAUAUUAGACAUUGAAGAAUGAUGCAGUUUUUUUGAAAUAGUAUUUGCUCUGGGGUUGAUCAAAACAGAACCUAACCUUGCAUAUGAAAGUGAGAUUUGGCUCUGCUAAAGAUCAUAUCUGAUUUCUUAAGCAGUUUCAUCAGUGUCAGCUGUGAGAUACACUUAACAUUAAAUGCCAAGGCAGGAUUACAGUGCAAGCCCUGGAGUCCAGCUGAUUUAUCAUCCUUGAAGUUAUGUGGGAUGGUAUAUAACACUAUUGAAAAUAGAUGACAGAAGGCUGUCCAAGCAGCUGCUGCACGGUUGAUCUAAAAUAGUGAGACCACAAACCAGGCCAAUAGAAGAAAUACUUUAAGGGCACACUGAGUCACAGCAUCAAAUGAUAAAAUACAGCUCAGGGCAGCCAGGAAACAAUUGUUUCUGUGAAUGCAAUAAUCAAAAAUGAAGUGAUUCCUUCAUAGCAAAGCCACUGAAAAUAACAUGAUUCUAAAACAGUGGUUUGCAAACAGGAACAGAAUAUAUAAAUAAUAGUUGGAACUCAAAGGACAAUUUAAUACAAACAUCAUGAGAAGGAUUAAUUAGAUUCUUUCUGUAAAGCAGUUCACAAACCAUUAGAGACAUCUUUCAUUAUCAAGAUGUCAACAACCUUAACCACUUAUCUAAGACAGAAUUUUUAAGGUAUGAUGUUAGUUUGGUUUAAAAAAUUGUAUCAAAUAUCCAAAGGACUAAUUUUCUAGUAUAGAAAUGUGCCUCUCUUCUCUGAUAUAAGAUAUCAUUUUGAGCGUGUUAAGUGCUUUUAAAUUUUGAAGCCAAUAUAUUAAUAUUUUUUAUGACAAACUAAAGUCCUUUUAUUAGAAAUAAUUCAUUUUAUUGGUGGGAUGUAUAGACUAUUUGCCCAUGAGUUCAUUUGCUUAUGAGUAAAUCAUAUUGGUACAAUAUACAGAAUGAUUUAAUUAGGAAGUCCUAUAACAUAAGAAUAUAUGGUCAAAUUUUAGGAGAUUAGGAAAGACUGGACCAUUUUCCCAUAUAGGUAGGCUCCUAACUUAAGGCAAAUUACGUCCCCAAAUUUCUUUAAAAUAAGUAGCAGAA